rnacentral:rRNA from 1 species
UACGGAGGGUGCAAGCGUUAUCCGGAAUCAUUGGGCGUAAAGCGUCCGCAGGCGGUUUAUCAAGUUGGGUGUUAAAUUUCACAGCUCAACUGUAAAAAUGUACUCAAAACUGAUAAACUAGAGUUUUGCAGAGGUGCGUAGAAUUCUGUAUGUAGGGGUAAAAUCCGUAGAUAUACAGAGGAAUACCAAAAGCGAAGGCAGCGCACUGGGCAAAUACUGACGCUCAGGGACGAAAGCGUGGGUAGCGAACGGG